rnacentral:rRNA from 1 species
GUUAGGAAUAUUGGACAAUGGGCGCAAGCCUGAUCCAGCCAUGCCGCGUGAGUGAUGAAGGCCUUCGGGUUGUAAAGCUCUUUAGCCGAUGAUUAUAAUGACUGUAGUCGGAAAAUAAGCCCCGGCUAACUUCGUGCCAGCAGCCGCGGUAAUACGAAGGGGGCGAGCGUUAUUCGGAAUCACUGGGCGUAAAGCGUGCGUAGGCGGCUUUGCAAGUUGGGAGUGAAAGCCCAGGGCUCAACCCUGGAAUUGCUCUCAAAACUGCAAGGCUCGAAUUCGGGGGAGGAUAGCGGAAUUGUCAGUGUAGCAGUGAAAUGCGUAGAUAUUGACAGGAACACCAGUGGCGUAAGCGGCUAUCUGGACCGAUAUUGACGCUGAGGCACGAAAGCGUGGGGAUCAAACAGGAUUAGAAACCCUGGUAGUCC